rnacentral:rRNA from 1 species
GGUGAGUAACGCGUGAGAAUCUAGCUUCAGGUCGGGGACAACCACUGGAAACGGUGGCUAAUACCGGAUGUGCCGAAAGGUGAAAGAUUUAUUGCCUGAAGAUGAGCUCGCGUCUGAUUAGCUAGUUGGUGUGGUAAGAGCGCACCAAGGCGACGAUCAGUAGCUGGUCUGAGAGGAUGAUCAGCCACACUGGGACUGAGACACGGCCCAGACUCCUACGGGAGGCAGCAGUGGGGAAUUUUCCGCAAUGGGCGAAAGCCUGACGGAGCAAUACCGCGUGAGGGAGGAAGGCUCUUGGGUUGUAAACCUCUUUUCUCAGGGAAUAAAAAAAUGAAGGUACCUGAGGAAUAAGCAUCGGCUAACUCCGUGCCAGCAGCCGCGGUAAUACGGAGGAUGCAAGCGUUAUCCGGAAUGAUUGGGCGUAAAGCGUCCGCAGGUGGCACUGUAAGUCUGCUGUUAAAGAGCAAGGCUCAACCUUGUAAAGGCAGUGGAAACUACAGAGCUAGAGUACGUUCGGGGCAGAGGGAAUUCCUGGUGUAGCGGUGAAAUGCGUAGAGAUCAGGAAGAACACCGGUGGCGAAAGCGCUCUGCUAGGCCGUAACUGACACUGAGGACGACGAAAGCUAGGGGAGCGAAUGGGAUUAGAUACCCCAGUAGUCACG